UACGUAGGUGGCAAGCGUUGUCCGGAUUUACUGGGCGUAAAGGGCGCGUAGGCGGCGCCGCAAGUCGACUGUGAAAUCUCCGGGCUUAACCCGGAAAGGUCAGCCGAUACUGCGGGGCUAGAGUGCAGAAGGGGCAACUGGAAUUCUCGGUGUAGCGGUGAAAUGCGUAGAUAUCGAGAGGAACACCUGCGGCGAAGGCGGGUUGCUGGGCUGACACUGACGCUGAUGCGCGAAAGCUAGGGGAGCGAACGGG
rnacentral:rRNA from 1 species